CCUGGUUCUGAUUCAUUUCAUUUCCCAGUGCUUACCAGCUCUCGAACCUUAACAAGGUUAAGUGAGAAAGCACCUAACCAUUGAGGACAAGAGGAGAGCCAGUAAAGCAUCUCCAUACUUUUUAAACUUAUUCUUCUACUACCAAAAGGGUUGGCCCUUGUGUGAAUAUUAUAUUAUAUAGCCUUUUUUUUUUGUUACAGUUGCUUGAGAUGUCAACAAAUAGCCCAAGUUGAAUGUUUUACAAGAAAGAAUAAAAUUAAUGAAAACGUGAAAUUUCCUAGUUUGAGAUUGUAAAGCCGAAUUAAUUCAAUAUAGUUUUUCUUUAUCUAUUAUCACAAUUAUGAAAUUAACUUUUUAAAUACUAAUUUGAUUCACCAUUUGUACUUUAUUAAGAAUAAAAUGCUAAAUUCUCUUUGUAAUAGUCAAUUUUGACCCAAUCUUUAAACCCAAUUCCCAACUAAAACCCAUUACAUAUUAAACCAAACAACCCAAAAUUUGAAGGCCAAAGUGGCCCAGAAUGUUUAAACAUUUGGAAACCCUAACCCUAGCCCCAACCCUAACCCUAACCCUAAACAUUUGUCGUUUCUACUUGUUCCUCACCAGCAGGGCCACCAUGCGCGCCGCUUCGUCGCAUUCCUCUGAUGCCUCUCUGACACCUGCAGACAAAACCCACACGCAACAACAGAGGAACAAGUAGAAACGACAAAAAAAAAUAGGAGUAAACAGUCUUGAAAAUCGGUUAUAAAAACCAGAAAUUUACCUUUGUAUUUUUUUUUAGCCACAAACAAAAGGCAGAGACUAUUAAUCUAAAAGAACCUUCGAAGGUGAUUGUUGUUUUUUUAUUUACGAGGGUUUUUCAUCUAGUUCUUUGUUUUGAUUUUAUAUUUUUUUUCAUUUUUUAGUUCUUUUAUUUUUUCAUAUACGAAAAUAAAUAAAAAGGUAAAGAGAAAGGUAACCUCACCUUGAUCUUCCCACGGACUCAUCACCGGAGAUCUCUUCUCCAAUCGCCGAAGUCGAGCCAAAGGGGGAGGGAGGACUUUUCUUUCGAUUUCUUUGGGGUUGAGAAGGCAUGGCCUUCGAGUAUGCCUCAAAACGAGGCUAAAAAGUCAAUCUCGGUGCUUCGUUGGCAACCGGGUACGAUGGUGGUGCGGCGGGCGGUGGAGAACCCGAUCGAUGGAGAGACAAAGGGGGGAGAGGAUAUUUGGAAGCUGUCAAAAAUUUUUUUAAAAGAAACAGCAGAUUAAUUUUUUUUUUUAAAAUUCUUUUAUGGAACAUGCGAAACGGCGUCGUUUAGGGCCGUUUCAGUGGCCUCAAAAAGGCACCGUAUAGGGCCAUCCAUGUGCAACCCGUGACCCGACCCGAAUGGAAGAGGAUCCGCUUGUUUUGUAGCCUUGGGGCUAUUUAUGCGAUGAGUCCCUCCGCAUUUUUGCAUCCUUUAAUUCAGUCCAGUCCUUACUUUUACGCUUCUUUUAAUUUAUCCAUACAGUUUCUGUUUUAAUUCAUUUUGGCCCUAAAAAAGGGUAGCGCACAGACGGGUCUGGGGCAUUUACAAUUUCGCCCCUUUAUGUUUUCGAUUUGUUGCGAAUCGACCCUCUAUAUUUCUUAAAAUUAAUUUAUAUAUAUUGCUUAUUUUAAAUUGUUUUACAUACCUUAUUUUGAACUCUAUUUAUUUAUUUUCAAAUGUUUUAUUAUUAUUAUUUACUUUAAUUUUUUAUACAUUAUUUCAUACUUUUGUGUGUGUAUAGACAUAUAUAUAUAUUAUCUAUUUUAAAGUCCUCCAUACAUAUAUCAUUCUUUCUUUCAAAAACGAAUCGUUUUGUAUAUUGUCGAUUUUAACUUUCUUUCUUUUCACAUUAUUUAUUUUAAAUUCAUUCACUGUCAUUUUAAAAUCUAUCUUGCUUUCAACUACUUAUUUUUAAAUUGUAUUAUUUAAUUCAUUUGUCCUUGAUUAUUAAUGAUUAGUAUUUAAAUGGUGCAUAUUGUGAAAUUAUUGCCAUUGCAUGUACUUUAAUUCGCUUAUACGUGUUCAUAUUAUUGUCAUUCGCUUGUGUAGUAUUUUAUUCAUGUAUCAUCGUUCCAUGUCGCACUAUAUUUUUAUUUCAUAUCAUCACCUCAUGAAUCAAGCUUCGUUACAUUUAUCAAAUAAAUCGUUUUAUUUUAAUCCAAAUAAAUCGUUUUAUUUUAAUCCAAACAAAUAAUGCAAGUCGUUUAAAUAUCAUACUCGCUAUUAUUCAAAAACAAAAAUUUCGAAAUAAGGCAAUGUUUCGCGUUUUGGAACAUCGAGGAAUUGUGCCUUAAUUUACGGGGUUUCGAUUUUCUCGUUGAUCCUAACUGGCCAAAUAUCCUUUUAAGUUCCAAAACACAUGAAAUUUCAAUUAAAAUUAAAGAUGAACUUGCGCUCUGGAGUUCAUGGUAUCGUGUCCUAACUUAUGGGAUGUGAUACUCUGAUAUCUCGAGACGAGGAAAUCUUUAGCAACCAUUUUGAUCUAAUUCAAGCGCCUUUAAAAUCUGCAUUAAUAAAAAAGGAUCGUAUUUUAAAUCCGUUCUCGAUUUUUAACUUUCGACAUUAAGACACUAACUAAUCAAUUCGGUACCAAUAUUGGCCGUGACGAUGGUGCUAAUCCUUCCUCGCACGUAAACGACUCCCGAACCCGUUCUCUUGAGUUUCGUAGACCAAAAACACCGUUUUAGUAAACUAAAUUGUUUUAUUAAAACAAAGGUGAUCCGAUCACACUUAAUAAAGAUCGGUGGUGACUCUUGUUUUAAUUUUCAUUUUCAAACAAAGUCUAUUCCCGUUUUCAAAAAAAUGGUUUCGACAGCUUGGCGACUCCACUGGGGACAUUUGAGAGUCAAGCCAUAAAUUGAUUAAUUUUUGUCCUUUGUCGAAAUUUGAAAAUUUGUUUUAAACUUACGAUCCCUUCAUUGCAUUUCAUUUUUGUAGUUUUCAUCAUUUUUAUGAUUGGUUUAUGGUUCGAGUUUCUUAGUACUUUUGCGCAUCAUAUUGCAUGAUUGGAUGAUUUUACCCUUUUUAAGUGGGAGUAAGAAGCUAUUCCUUCGUGAGGUAUUCACCUUCGUAUAGGAUAAUGGAUUGCUUUCGGGAUACAUCCGUAUCUACGUCUUUAUGAGAUUUUCAUCUCCGUAUAGCCGUAGGGAAAUGUGUUCCCUUAAACCGAACUCGGUCCGUAUGAACCUAUAAUGGGUUAGGAUCAAGGAAUCUGUAGGUUCAGGUACCCUUAUUCUAGAACCGAACAACAUAUAGAGAGACCUAGGAGCCUCCCCUAGGUAGAGCCACGCCAAACCCUAGUGGCCACCCAGAUAGGUGUUCUAUUUUGUUGAUUAUUUCUUCUGUACUGACGUAUUUUGUUUUGUUUUGUCUAUUAUUGCAUUGCAUUACAUCAUCAUAGAAAGAAGGUGUUGAUUCAUAUUUGAUUGCUAAAUAGAAGAGCUUAUCAUGAGAAAAUGGAUUUUUUGAUAAAGUGGAUUAUAAUACGGUUGUCCGAAUAUGGUCCAAGUGAACACAACGAAAGAAGGCUGAUAGUCUGUGGAGUAAUACAAAACUUUGUUUCAUUGCCCGAUGAUUUAAGCCGACAAAGAUUAUUCGAGAGCCGUCACAUAUUGACUUUCUUAAAGGAGCUGACGAGUAUCGCAGGGAUAAGUAAGCAAUGAGUCGCAGCCUGGAUCAAGCAAAAAGGAGUUAAUAGGGACAUCUUUUGGAAAAUUCGCAAGACUCGACCAUGACAUCCGGAUAUGAAAAGGAAGAUAGGUUUCUUCGCUUGGAAUAUGAGGGCAAGACAGCAUAUGUAAUCUGUUUUAUGUAAAGGAAUUUAUUUUCUAGAAAAGUUGUUCUAAUGAAAUUGAAUUCAGAAUCAAUGCUUUUUUUUUUCAUUCAUUUCAUACAUCUACAUUACAUUGCAUCAUAUGCAUUAAAAUUCACAAAGGGAUCCUGAUUAAUUAAAAUUAUAAUAGUUAAUAUGGAAACCAACAAGAGUCAACCAACCGGAUACCGCUACAAUACCCAUCGCAAAAUGAAAGCAAUGGAUCAGAGACUAGAAAGAUUAGAACAAAUGCAAAGGGAUAUGCAAGAGCAAUUGCAAGCACAGAUGCAAGAGCAACUAGCUAAAAUACAACAAGACAUGAGGGAACAAAUACAAGAGUCCCAAAAUAAUAUGAUAGGUCAGUUGGUGCAAUUACUAGCUAGGGAACGUGAAAAAGGGAAAAGCACCGCGGAUAACUCGGGGAACAAUAAUGAAAACCCUACCUAUCCCCCAGGUUUUACUCCGAUCAAUGUUCAGACACAACCAGAGGUGUACCCACGAGUGGUAUCCAUCACUAUCAGGCCCCAGCAAUACCAGGCCGGUGCCUCGGCAUCAAUAAACUUUUCAACAGGCUUAGGCUCCAAUCCGGGGGAUAAUCUAUCCAAUCCCUUUGUCCCUGACCUUGAUAACGUGGCAGGAAUAGAAAAGGUAGGAGUAGAUCUGCCAAAGCAACUUGAAGACUAAUGGAAGUGGCUAUAGAAAAAAUUCAAAGCAAUGGAGACUGCUGAUUACCGUUGCGGGAUCGAUGCUAAGGACUUAAGCUUGGUCCUAGAUCUGGUGCUUCCACCAAAGUUUAAGACUCCGAAAUUUGAAAAGUAUAAUGGGACUAGCUGCCCUGAAGCUCACAUUACGAUGUUUUGUCGAAGGAUGACAGGAUACAUUAACAAUGAUCAGCUGUUAAUUCACUGUUUCCAAGAUAGUUUAAUUGGGUUUGUGGCCAAGUGGUAUAACCAGCUAAGUCGUGCCCAAAUUGGUACAUAGAAGGACUUGGCUCAAGCUUUCAUGAAACAAUACGGUCACGUAAUGGACAUAGCACCCGAUAGAAUUACACUACAAAACAUGGAAAAGAAACCCAAUAAGAGCUUCAGGCAGUAUGCCCAACGAUGGAGGGAGAUAGCGAUGCAAGUCCAAGCCCCUCUUCUAGAGAAAGAAACUAUGAUACUUUUCGUCAACACUCUGAAAGCCCCAUUCAUUACCCAUAUGUUGGGAAGCGCUACCAUGAGCUUCUCAGAUGUGGUAAUGUCCGGCAAGAUGGUUGAAAAUGUAAUUAGGAGCGGGAGGAUAGACACGGGAGAAAGCGCCAUGAGGUCAAACCCAAAGAGAAAUGAAAAUGAAGUGAAUAAUAUGAGCAAAGGGUAUUCUAAAUCGGUCACUGUAGACCAGCCAAAGAUAGUCACCACCAACCAUCAGGCCUCUCCGAGACAAGCAGAAAGGCUCCAAUUCACACCUAUCCUGAUGACAUACAAGGAGCUCUAUCAGAAUCUGUUUAAUGCGUAUGUGGUAUCUUCAUUCUACUCUGAACCCGUGCAACCUCCAUUCUUAAAAUGGUAUGAUGCGAAUGCCCAAUGCGAGUAUCACGAAGGAAUAACAGGGCACUCAACCGAAAACUGCACUACAUUUAAAAAGUUGAUCGAAAGGCUCAUUAAAAUGGGAAUUUUGAAGUUCGACGAUUCAUCAGAACCUAAUCGCUUUGAUAAGGCAGUGAAUGCGAUAACUGAAGGAUGUUGCAAGAGAGUUGCGAUCCCUUGAAAAAGAAGUUUGGAGGAAAUAUCGAGGAAUCUGGACCUUAACAACGUAUCCAAAGAGAGAACCGAGGAAUAAAGGUUUCCAAUCCCUUGCAUACUUGGGAGUGUUUUGAACAAUGGGACUGUGGAAGAAAUCCUUGUAUUUUUAGAGCUAAUUCGGGGUAAUGUCCAAAACAUGCCUAUUGCUCUAAGCCUAGGAGCACUAAGAGGCCUUUUGUGAAAUAGGCUUAUGUCCAAAAUUUUUAUUUCAAUAAAAUGCAUCUUUGCUAUUGUAAUGGGCCAAAAUUGCCGUUGCCUAAGUCCUACAAACAAUAAACAGAAAAAAAGCCCAAAACUCUACAAUGGCUCAAAUCAGAAAAGAACCCUAGGUUACUCCUAGUCACCCACGCCGCAACCCCCACAUUUAGCACCUCUCCACCACGCACGUCGGCACGCCCCCCAGCUUGCACAUCCACGCCCCACGAUCGUGCACUUUUCCUCCACAACCUAACAGCACUUGCGAUUGGAGCAAAGAAAUAGGCAGAAACUGCUUGUAUUUUGGCUAUAAAGCCUUCGAUUUUUUUCAUUGUAAAAGGGGGAUUUUUUUUACCUUUUUUUUCAGAGAAAUAGAAUACGGAUACAAUAGCAAAAUACAAAGAAAACAUUGAAAUACAGAGAAAUCAAAUCAAUUGAAAAAGGUUGUGAUUAUUCCUUUUCUAAUUUAUCUUGUUUUUUCUCUUCUUUUUUGAGUAUGGUCUUACUUUGUGAUUGCAAAAAAAACAAAAGAAUAAGGAAGGAAGAGGGCUUACCAGAACAUAGCUUUGAAUCAAGGUUGAAAACCCAUUUUUUAAGUACUGCUGGCCAUCGAGUGUGGUGGUGUUUCGGUCUUGCGGUGAGGGGAAAGAACCAAUCGGCGCGUGGAGAUUGGAAUGUAGCCUUAGCAGAGCAAGAAUGGAAACCCCAUUUUUUUAAUUCAAUGCAAAUGGUUUUGG
rnacentral:lncRNA from 1 species